rnacentral:lncRNA from 1 species
AAGACGAUCGUCCUGGACAGGGUGUAAGUACGGAAACCGCGCAUAUCAUCCUGUACAUUUUAAAAUAAAACACCAUAUGCAGACUCACGACUGUGUAUCAGUUUGUGUAAAUGAGAAAUACUUCCUGGUUAUAGAUUUAUCAGUAACACAGAACAAUCCGACGGUCAAUCCCUGAUCCAUGUGGACCCCAACAGGACUUUUAACUGCUAACUCUGUCUGAAGGUAACGGCACAGCAUAAAGGAACAUAGUUUACUUUAAUAAACAUGAGUAAACCUGCAAAACAAAACUUUGAAAUCACAUUGUUUUAUCACAUACAGUAGAGGCUCAACAGUCACUGAAUUAUAUCCAAAUUAGCAGGAAAUUGACCACAAAAAGGCAAAACAACCUGUUUUGAGCAUGUUGUUUCCUCUAUGCUGAGCCCAGCUGACCGGAGCUGCACGACUCUGCUGCCACGCUCCAAGCACGCAUCCUGCGGGCAAUGAAGAGCGUUCCACAUGGAGCAGAGACGCAACUCUGAUGGAACGGGCUCAGCACAGAUCCUGUGGGAUUUAAGCUUUAGACAUCACGCAUAUGAUAUUACUAAGGCAGGACGACACGAAAGACAGGUCAUGACCAAUGGGCUUACGUGAAACAUAUGGUAGAGUGUCAUCAGCAUAUCGAAUCUUGUAUUUAACAAUAGUCUGACCCAGUGGGAGCAGGUAAAUAGAAAAUAACAAUGGGUCCCCCCUCACAGGUGGGAACCCUGUGGAACCCCACCUGUGAGGGGGCCAUCACCAAUGUUUAAUGCAAAUGUGGACAUUACUUCAAGAAUUGGCUUUGUAUGUUAAAUGUAAGUGUCUGAAACCUGCAUUCUCUCUUAUGGCCAGCAGGCAGAGAUUUCACAGUAUUUUCAAAACUACAGUAAUUGUUUAUAAACUGAUUCAGAAAUGAGCGUAUUUCUCAGUGAUUCAUUUAUUAACUCUGUAUUUGUUGUUAUUGUCCUUGGUGUAGUUUAAGAAUAAUCAGUCUUAUUUCUUAGCAGCUUAAUCAUACCAGCACAUUUUAUUUGACAUAAAACAUUUAGCAGAUAAUCAGCAUCUUUCAGCUUUCAUCAAAGAGAAGUGGCAGUCAUUUUAUUAGGACCAUAGAGGAGUAAGGGGGCUUUUUCAACAAAUACAGGCUGUCUGUUUUAUAAAGCUGAAAAACAAUUUCCCUUAAAUUAUACUCAUAUACUGAAAACAUUUUUCAGAUUGAACCUGCUUUUUGAGUGUAUGAUACAAUCACUCAGUAGCAGAUAACAUCAGAGAAAAUCUAAAAAUUCAAAUAAAAAGCAGCUUCCUGUAGGGAUUAAAGAUGUAGGGAUUCAUCAUUAUGCAUCAUAUUUGACCAAAAACUUUUUAAAAGUCUUUUUUUAUCCUUGAAAGCAGAGUGAGUCAGAGAAUAUUAUUAACAUGUUCUGUAAGUUUAAAACCAGAGUGUCUUUGCACUUCCUCCAAACCAAGCUGUACUUAUCAGCAACAUUUCAUCAGAAAAUCCCUUCAAAGAAUAUCCGGUAUGUAUCCUGACUACACACACUUGAAAAAAAAUGUAUAGUGCACCAGUCUGACUGAAACUGGACUUUAAGCUUUAAAGCUUUAAAAUGUACUGCUUGUAGCUGCAACAUUGGAAAAGCUUCAGUAUGCCCUUUUUUACUUAUUUUUGUGCUUUUUAAUGCCUCUACUUGAGAGGACAGGACAGUGGACAGAGCAGGAAAUGAAAAGAGAGAGUGGCAUGCAGGAAGAAGCUUUAAACUGGAAUCAACUUCUGGAUAUGAGCCGCAUGCUCAGACUUCUAUUGGUAAGCGGUGCGAAGUGUAGUACGGCCAAACUUUGUAUUCAUUUUGUUUUCAAUCAAGAUAAAUUGUGUCGUGCCUCUUAAGUCCCAAACAGGGAAUCCUUUCUGUCUCCUGUGCAGAAGUGAUGCAAAAAGGUAAUAUGUCUCUGUUGUUAUCAGAGUUAAUGGCAUGUUGGAGCCAAAAAUGACUUUUUACCUUGAUUUAAUCCAGUGGUUCUCAAUCCAGUCCUCGAGCCCUCCCUGUCCUGCAUGUUUUGGAUGCUUCCCUGCUCCAACACACCUGAUUCAAAUGAUCAGCUCGUUAGUAAGCCAUUACGGAGCUGGAUAACGAGCUGAUCAUUUGAAUCAGGUGUGUUGGAGCAGGGAAACAUCCAAAACAUGCAGGACAGGGGGAGCUCGAGGACUGGAUUUAGAACCACUGAUUUAAUCACACAUGGCAGAGACAGGGGGCACAAAUGCUCACAAAAUAAUUAAUCUUAUAAAUAUAUGAUAAGCAGGGACUACAGGAACUUUCCUUUGGCCUCAAAAAAUGUCACAUUCAAAGUCAACGAAAAUAAGUUCCGGUACUCCUUGAGUUCUAUGAGUGCAGUCAGUAUUGGUAAAUCAUUGGUAUUACUCUCUGAAUGUCUACAGUGAAUAAAGGAUUUCAGAAGAAUCUCUGUGUCAUUUUCCAUCAGGGUGUACUGACUAGACACUGUCGUUUUGGAGUGUGGUGCAAAUAAGUCUUCAGGCCUUCACUGGAGGGCUCUACUGAAGAGUGACGGAAACAAGCUGCCUCCACUUUAAUCACACUAUAGAGACAGAACAAGAGUUUACUGUGAAUGUGAUGACAAAUCCAGAGAGGACAUUGCAAAAGGAGGGACGUCAAUUCAGAUCUGUGUUGUCGUCCAUCCAGUUGCCAUGUCUUUUUCCUUGAAGUCUAACUUUAGGAUUAAACACCAUGUUCAAACGUUAGUCGUCCGCCUACACUACACCUCAUUUAAGUCUCACAACCAUAGACUGUAUAUACUAUGGACGACUAAGCUGCACCUUCUGUCAUUGGACGGAUUUGAAGCCAAAAUGCUCUCGAUAUUUCCAGGAUUUUCUCAACUUCCUGGAACCACUGCUUACUCAGUAGCAUUAUACACACUUUAUACAAACAGCGUAUCCCCCAGGUGAGCUAAGCAAUCUUUGUACACCCAUAGGCUGUAUCAAGUGUCAAUCAUAGAAAACAUGAACCCCCAAAUAACUUUUAAAAAUGGAGCUGUACAGAAAAAAGAGGACUUGAGCACAAACCAGUCUUACUGUAACUACAUGUCAACAUCACAAGCAGGGGGGAGAAAAAUUUAUAUUCUAUGUAAUUAAUUUCUAAAGUUUGUCCACAGCUCCAUAGGGAUUGCUGGAGGAGGCAAGAUUUAUAACCUAUACUGCAGCCCGUCACCAGAGGGUGCUAUUCUCGCAGAGUCCAUUCUAUAUACAGUCUAUGCUCACAACACACGGGUAUUGGCGUUACCCCCGGCUUCUCUAAACAGCUUGUUUUGAAGACUUUGUGAGACUUGGCCUAAACCUGGUGAAAGGCUUUGCCGUCCUAUUAAAAUGGAACAUACCCCAUUAUGUUACAGUACAGCUCACUCAAGGGUAAGCCUGCUCAGAACAGUCCAAGUCAGUAAAGACAGAAAGUUGCUCACAGUAGCAUUAACAUUCAGGUUGUUCCUUUCAGGCUGAAAAUGACUGAAAUUCAGGUGCUCACAGAUGUUAAAGAGUCUGUAAAUCAUUCAUAGCUACUCUUGUGUGUCCUAGACUGACAUAAUGACAGGUAGAAAUAGAUAUAAUAGAUCUCCUUUGAGGUAAAUUGAAGAGACCAAUUAUUUCAUCAAGCACAUCAUCAGAUUACAAACUGGAAUCUAUUUAAUCUUCAGGUGACUGGCACAGGUGCAGGAAUGAGAGCAGAAAUAUCCCUUUAAGCUCCGAAACACGGUUUUUGCUUCAGUCUGCAGCUUGUUGUGUUUUUUGGAAGUGAAAAUUUGCAUUCCUCUACAUUGUGAAAGCCUUCAAGCACCAUCUCUAUCACGCAUUACAAAAAAUUGACCAAACUUGUUUCAUCUCCAGCGCUAAAGAGGUGGGUUUGCUUUUUUUCUGUGCUGUGUUAAGAGUCCAUCAGUGGCAGGCUGCCUGAAUCUCCUUCAGCUGUAGCUCCAGGUGUGCCCACACUGCCAGCUCAUUAUGGCCACGGCUGUCUGAUACACAAUUUGGCACCAUGGACUGUGCAGAGAGCCUGAUUUUGGCUGGUUUUGAAAGGAUAAGCUUGUUUUUCCAUGCUCAUAUCUAAACAUUCAGUGUUUAGAGAAGCUUCGUGUUUGGUAAGUUUUGUUGUAGUAAGAGACAGAACUUGGCUCUAUGUAACAUUCAGCUGAAAUAGUAUUUGGCUAAAGCUUCUAAAGCUGUUUGUGGAGGAAAAACAAUUCUUUCUAGUCUUGUUUAUUCCUUAUUUACUGUUUUUUAAACCUUUGUGAAGGCGUUUCUCUUUGUUCAUCAAAGUCAUCCUCUACCUGGUCUCAACAGCCCUCAAAACAUUGUUUUAAAUACAUUUACAUGUGUUUUUUUUUUGUUACAUAGAUUAUGAGUUCUUUACUGAAUGGACCCUUGGUAGAAUCUCUCUUCCCAGAUUUAGGAUUUUAAAUGUUGAAACAGAAGUCAGUCUCUGGAAAUUGUAGUCUAUGAUAGGAACCAAUGUCAAAGAUGGUUUAAAAAGGACCCUCAUGGUUCCCACAGACCAUUUGAAACAUAGACUGUAUGAUAACUCGACAUAGAAUCAGAAUUGUUUGUUUCUGAAGCAGAAUUUUGAGGCCUAUUAGCGGCUGUAGCUAUAUUGGUAAUGCUGACUCGACCUGUUUUUUAGAUACGGGCCUUUAGCCUCUUUGCAAAUGGCUACAGUAGACACACCACCAGAGUUGGGGCUGGUCGUCUUCUCACUGUUCACAAGCAUGGACGCUCUGUGGUCGGUCUGUAUGGGCUGAAAUAUAUGUCACCAGAAACUCAAUUUGAAUAAUUUAUAUUUGAAUUUGAAUUCCUAAACUUGAAUAAUUGAAAAGAAAAUUGAAUUUGAGUCACAUAAUUUAAAGGAAUGUGAAGUUUUUACUGCUCCCACUUAGUGUGACUAUACUGUAACUAUUUCUUUUACUGUUUCUCCUAAAUAUCUUUCUGUUAUGCCCUUCCCCCAGAUGAGAUAUCAGAUCCAGAGACAUGGGCUAAUGCUCAAAAUGUUAGAUCCAAAUUAAACUUUUAACCUCAUACAAAAGGAUGCUAGUAUAAAACGAUGAACCCAAGCACUAUCGCUUGUUUCCAUUGGAGUUCAGUGUAUUAAAUUGAUCUAUAUAAAAAUUACAAAUAUAUUUUAUGACAUGAGCUAAUAUUACUUCCUAAUGUAAAUUACAAUAAUAACACCACUUUUAGGAUACAUAAAUUAAUAUCUCUGUGGAAAAUAAAUCUUCAGUGUUUUUACAAAUACUUUAUCAACAGGAAACAGCAAUUUGUUAUACCCUUUCAGAAUUAUGCAAAAAUAGCAGGAAAAAGUAAAUUAAUCUGCUAGACAUGUUAGACAUUUUUACAGCUUUUUUUCCAACAGCAUUUUUGUUCCAGAAAAAUUUGAGUGUUAGUAAAAUUAGGAUGGUCCCGGGUUGGUGGUUAAUUAAAAAAACCUUGCAAAACAAUAGUAAAAUCCCAAUAGCAAUUGCAGUUGGACUCAAACAGCGGUAUCUGGCGCAACAUCAACCCUUGGCAAACAGUAGCACAAGCGAUGGAACCUCCCGGCAUCUGCCGUGACAACUAGUGGCAUCACAUGGCAACUUUCAGCAUCUACCGUGACUUGCUAAUUGCACCUCGCAGCGGCACCCCCGGCAUCCGCCGUGGAACCUCCCGGCUAGGUGCCAGUGCCACAGACUGAGUCCUCAGUCCUCUGUAUCUGAGCUCGAUUGCUCUUCCUUCAUCCUUCAAGUACCUGAAUGUCUGUCACAGUAAAUUGAAACUGAAUUUUUCGAACUGAAUUAGAAUUGUGAGAACUGAAUUUGAAUAUGUAUGAGUUGGAUUUUCAGCGAGAAUAAAAUUUUAUUGGAUUUCAAUUUCAAAUUAUGUGAUUCAAAUUCAAUUUCCAAUUCAAUUAUUCAAGUUUAGCAAUUCAAAUUCAAAUAUAAAUGAUUCAAAUUCAGUUUCUGAUGGCACAUAUUUGAGCCCAUAGGUCUGGCACACCUCCUGUCAUUGCAGCACUGCACAGAGAUUCAUGUCCCAUUUCUAUGUUGAUGCUCCAUCACUCUUUGCCUCUGUCCUACUGUCUCUCUUUCUAUUUCUUCUUUGUUUAAACCAAUUCGGCUUUGAUGCAUUUAUAUAUAAUUAACAGGUGCAGUUUACUGAGCACUGCAUUCACACACAUCUAUGUAGGUGGUCAAUACACGUUAUUGUAGGUUAUUUACUGACUUAGAUAGUUAUAUAAAAUAAAUGUAUAAAGACCAAGAACACAGACAACAUGAAAAGCUAAAAUCCUGCCUUACUGCUGACAUUUGUGUUGACUGCUCUGUGGGUAAAAAGCUGCUAGUCUCUCAACCAGCAGCAGCAGACAGAUCAUACCAAGAUAAUAACACAGAGCACUCUGUGUCUAGAAACACGGUGCUGUUUGCUGGCCAGAAGAUAAUGGGUAACUCACCGGCCUGUCUGACUCCAUGGUCUUCUACCAGCAUAAAAACCCUCUCCACUAAGCACUGAGUUGUCUCUCUUUCUCUUUUCAAAUCUGCUUUCAAAUCUGCUUUGUGGGAUCAUUUAAGAUAAAAGAAAUAAGCACUUGUGGUUAUGUUAUGUUUCACCCUCUGGAGGACAUGAUAAUCUUAUAAUAUGUUGUGCCCAAAGUGCCUUUAUCUUAAAAUCUGGUCAUCUGUGUAGGCUCCAGAUUGGAGUUUGUCCUCGUGUGCUCCUCCAAAUAUAGCGUAAUGGUUGGCCUUUAACAGCCUGCAGGUUGUGUUAGACACUAAAAGAUCCUGAUGCAGCACUGUUUGAUACUCAGCGUGGAGCUCAGUGGGGAGGGUUUGUUAGGAUUUUUCUGUUUAUUUUUGGUGACAGUCUCUUUUUUUACACCAAGCUCAAAGUUGAGUGCUUCAUCUCUGGACAGAAAGUGUUUUUCUUUGCUGACUGUUUCUUACAACCUGUUCUCUUGAAUUUUUCACCAGGGCCCACUGUCAUGCUUGUCAUCCCUUCUCACUUUCACUUUCUGAAUUAAUCAUCUACUUUUCUCAUCUCGGCGAGAGGAUCCCUCUGGUGUAAAACCUGCUUUUUUAACACACUGACACAGAAUGGGAUGGGGUCAUAUUGGGCCAGGGUAUUUUGGGACUUUGCCCCGUCAUAAAGAGGAACAACAGGCAGGCACCAUCUGUAACUCAGUGAUUAUCUUUUUAAGCAUGUUGCAGGAAACGUUCCAGCUUUAUCCGGGCCUUUACAUUUCUGAAAAACUCAAGGCUUAACCAAAUCAGACAUGUUUAAAAGCAGAGCGCCUGAGUAGACUGGAGUUCAGUGGAGCACACACUACAACUUAAUCAGGUCGAUUUUGGGCUGGAAGAUAAUCUGCCAUAUCAUCCUGUGGUAUGAUAUAAAGUAGAUACUUUUUUCUACCCCAGUUUUCUUAAGAGACGAUUGAAAUGGAAUAUUAAAUAUUCAAUAUUCAUGCCGAUAGAUGGCAGGCAUACACGUCAUACUUUGAAUAAAACAUUUCAGGUUUAGUUACAUGAAAAAAGUGCAUUCAAAGGGGGGCUGAGUCUCUCUGAAGAUGUGGAGAGUUUCGCAACUCUGUGAGAGCCUGUGUGAGCAAAUAGCUUAACAAUCUCAGAAGGAUAUUAUUUAGCACAAAAAUGCAAAUAAAUUAAUAAAAUUGGAGAUCUUUGGCAGCACAGUGGUGUAGUGGUUAGCACUGUCGCAUCACAGCAAGAAGGUUCCCUGGUUCGAAUCUGGGUCAGGGUGUUUCUGUGUGGGGUUUUCAUCUUCUCCCUGUGUCUGCAAGGGUUUACUCUGAGCACUCCGGUUUCCUCCCACAUCCCAAAACCAUGCAGAGGUGGGGUUAGGUUAAUUGGUCACUUUCAAAUUACCCGUAGGUGUGAAUGUGAGUGUGGAUGGUUAUUUGUCUCUAUAUGUCAGCCAAGUGAUGACCGGGGGCCUCAUUUAUCAACCAUGCGUAUGCUCAGAUGUGCGUAAUGAGUGCGUAUGAACAUUCCCACGCAAAGUAUGGAAUUUAUCAACCUGUACUUGUGCUUAUGAACGUGCGUAAAUUUAAGCACAAGUCUGACCAUGUGUACACACAAAAUCUAGUGGCAGAACAGUGAAAAUACAAAUAGGACCCAUAAAAGGAGUCACAGUGUUCAGCAAUCUCAAACUUGACACAUGUUCUCCAUUGCCUCUUUACAAAAUGCAUCAAUUAGUUAUUUAGCAGACAUUUUGAAUGAUUGGUUUGACAAGCUAUAAAAAUCAUCUGUGACAGGACAACCUCAAAAGAAGUCUUACAAGUACUCAUACAAGAAUCAUGGCUUAUUGGAGGACUUGGAGAACCUUAUGCUCCACAGGAAGCGUGUUUUCAACGCCCGUGCUGAUCUGUUCAGUAAGAACUCAGAGUGGCUUCUCAGCAGGUACCGCUUUCCAAAAAACAUUUUAAUGGAUUUAUGCCGUGAUUUUCAUCCCGUGUUGGAACAAGAGACAAAACGCACCAAAGUCAUCCCAGUGCACAUCCAGCUCCUGUCCACCCCUGGGAUUUUUGGCCGCUGGAUCAUUUCAGCAUGAGAUUGGAGACAUAUAUGGCAUUUCACAGACAACGCUAAACGGAAUCAUGCCGGCAGAGUUGGGUGCAAUAAUUUCUGUUGCCUCAAUUUACAUCCAGUUCCCAAACACACAUCACCAACAAGCAGAAAUAAAACAAGGAUUUCACGCCAUCGCUGGAUGCCCAAACGUAAUUGGAGCCGUAGAGUGCACCCACAUCGUAAUAAAAGCACCUUUACACAAUGAAUUUAGUUAUGUCAACAAGAAAGGAUUUCAUUCAAUCAAUGCACAAAUAAUCUGCGAUGCACAUGUUUCUGUUAAACGUUGUUGCCCGGUGGCCUGGAGGAACACACGACUCAUUAAUUCUGCAGAACAGCUCUGUGGGUGUGGUUUUGGUUUCGGUGAAGGGGGAAAAAAUCCAUUCACACAUUUUCAAAGGGAUUGUUGAUACCAUAUAUGGUAAAUUGGAGAUGUUUCUCAAUGCAAAUGACCCUAACCAUUCACAAGCACGGUAGUGUAGAACAGGUAGGAUUUAUCAUCACUGAUUACUUACGAGUGUGCAUAUGACCGGUGUACGCCUGUUUGAUAAAUACAGGUUUUUUUGUACAUAUGCACACUCUAAAUUUCAUUCCUACACCAGAAUUUAGAACCUUUUCUAUGCACAGUUGAUAAAAGAGGCCCCAGGAGACUUGUCAAGGGUGUCCCCUGCCUUCGUCCCAAGAUGCUGGGAUAGGCUCCAGCCCCCCCGCGACCCCCAACGGGAGAAGAGAUAGAAAAUGAAUGGAUUGAUGAAUGGAUAUCUUGACAUCUACAGCACAAAAUACCAUUAAAACAUCUAGAAUCUGUGCUUAAGGGACAGGGCUGAGAGAAAAGACUGGUUGGCAGUGAUCCUCAGACUGUAAGGUGUAACUAUGAAGUUGAGUUUACCACUACAUCCACAAAUGCAGGAAAAGAGAAAACUAUAUAUAAACAUGAUCCAGAGCCUGGGUUCACUUAAGAUGGACUGAAGCAGAGUAGAAACUGUCUAGCGGUCUGAUGAGUCAAAAUUUGACAUUCUUUUUGGAUACCAUGGAUGCAGCGUCCUCUGCUCUUAAGAGGACAGGGGCCGCAUGGUUUAUUAUCAGAGCAUGGUUUAAAAGCAUCCCUGAUAGUAUGACGACACCUAAGUGCUCAUGAUAUGGAUGGCUUACACAUCAGGGAAGGUACCAUCAAUGUUGAACAACAUAAAUAGGUUUUAAAGCAACAUAUGCUGCCAUACAAACAAGACCUUUAUAUUUCAGAGAGGCAAUGCCAAACCAUAUGCUGCAUGCUUUAUAGCAGCGGGGUUUAUCAUGUGUCCACCUGGUUCCAGAGUCUGAGCUUGAGGUCCCAAAAAAGGACAUGUGACAUUAUGAUGGCAUGUGUCACGCUCAGUGAUACUGCCUUAAUUUGAAGUGACAGUCUGUCGUGUUAAUUAUGGACCAUAAAGAAAGACCGUCCAUGCCUACUCAACUUAGGAGCCAAGAACAAGAGCAAGUCUAAUAUGCAGGCAAACAACAUGUCAGAACCAUUUUCUGUUUCCCACCACCAGCUCACCGUGAAAGCUGAAUAAAAUCAGAUUUAAUCUUCCAUCAUUUUCUAAAUACUCAAAAGUGGUUCAUUUAUUGCCCUCGAGUCCACAGACAAAAGGUUUUAUUUUUCCAUCGCAUUUCACCUGAGGAUCAGCUAACUAUCUGGUUGCUUCCCUUACAAGGAAAAGCCGUGUCCAAGCUGCAAGAAUUUCAAUAACUGUUUGAAAAAGAUGAUGAAUCCAUAGCUUGGAUAAAUGGCUUCCUAAACCAAAAAGGCUCUGAGCAAAUUGUCCAUAAUGGCACCAGCACACGUUUUAUUGUAUCAAGAGAAAAGCAUUUCGAGGUAAAAUGAUGAGGUAAUGGAUUUUUUGCCGGUUAAUGGCACAGAAAUGAAAGCUUAAUCCAGAUGGAAUUGAAACAGAGACAGUGGUUCACAGCAUGUUAUAUAAAAGAGAAUGCUGGUUAUCUAAAGACCGAAGCACCAUCAUCUUACCAGCGUCCUCUGGGGCCACAGCCGGCUCUUGAGACACCCUUAAAAGCCAACACACAAAGGACCAACAAAAAAUUUUGACUAAGGAGAAAUGAUAACAUAAAAAUACAUUUUAGCCUUAUGAAGAUUCUAUGUGUGCCGGAGAACAGCUUAUUCUAACUCAACAAGACAAUGAUACCUCUGAGUAGAGGAUUUUCCAUGCUGUAUAUUUAUACUGUUGGAAAUAAUAAUCCAACAGAGCCCUCAAACUGUAUAAUCUGGAGUCUAAUGCUCACAAUUAAUACCACUUAAGACUUAAAAGUUAGUUUAAUUAAAUGCUGUCAGUCAAUUUUUGUACACUUCCCUACUCAUUAAUUUUAAUUGGGCCUAGUUUUGCUUAAGGUUUAGGCUAAUUUAAUAACUAAUUUGCUCUAAACAGAAUCUAAAGGCAUCAUUUGCAUAAGGUUGUGAUAAUGGUAAUGUUGCUCCCCUGUGUAGUUUGACUCAGAAGGAGCAUAUAAAGCUUAAAAGGAAGGGGCCCAAGAACUGAUCCCUGAGGAAUUCCACGUGUUUAAGCCACUCCAUCAGAGUAGCAGAAAUAGUUUUGAUCCUUUAAGUACGACUUGAUCUUAUUCAAAACCUGUAAGUUCUACCCAGUUUCCCAAAAUUUAAUUAAACCACAGAAAUUUUAAAUCAGUCUUAAGGUCAUAACAUUUCAUCAGCUAACGGCACUCUAAAUCUUUUCAAAGUUUUAAUAGGAUGUCUAUCAAGUUGAGCCUCCUUUUACCCUGAACUGGUUUUUGAGAUUGAUUAAAAUCCAAUCUCUGAUACUAACAAAAAAGGAAGACAUUCUUUCAUUACAUUGAAUCAGACUGAAUUGAAUCUUUUCAUUGGUUUGAUUUCAGUCUGCUGUUUGGCAGCGCUGUGUGGGCGUAAAACUAAAAAAGUUCAGCUGUGACACUAAUGCUCCCUGAGUCACCAGGUAUCUAGUAAGGUUUUCAAUUUGACUUUGACUUUGACUUUUGAUCAAACCAGAUGAAUAAUGACAAUGGAUAUUUUUUUAACUUGAAUAGAUUUUUCUUCCUUUUUCUCAGAGGAUGACGUGAGGAAGCAGAUUUGUCUUAAAAGAACCUUUCAAAUAAAACGCAAAUGAAGGUCUUUGAAACACUGGAGGACUGUGACAAACUUUUAAAAGAACAGAGACAGACAGCCUCCCACAUCUGAGGAUAUCUUAGUCACUCAAUAAAUAAUCCUGCAAGGACAUAGUAUUUUGCAGCCAAGACAAAAUUUUAGGACCAUACAAGACCAAGGGAUCUGAAAUUGCAUCAAAGCCAAAUCACACUUUCCGAUAUGUCCAAAUGAUUAUUCCAAAACGCAACUUUACUUUUACAGGCACUGUCACAUGCGGCUGGAGCCUGCAUGCAUGUGUUGCAUGUGACAGUAGUGCAAAAAAAAACCAAUAGAUUUUUAAAGGGAAAGAGCUGACAAAUUAUAAAUUAAAGUGGACACACAUCUAAAGUAGUUCUUUAUGUUUAGAGCCAACCCCUUCUUAAAGGGAUAUUCUGGUGUAAAAUUAAGUUAGGGUCAAACACACCAUAAAAUAGAGUUAGACACCCCAUCGAGAGAUGAAUGUUGCCGACUGCUCGCUUCUCUAGUCAUACCAACUUUAGUAACGACCGCACAAUAGCAAUA